AGAGAGAGUUAAACAGUACGUGAAAUUGUUGAUAUGGAAACGCUUGAAGUCAGUCGCGUUCUCUGGGAUUCAGCCCUGCUUCUGCUUGGUGCAUUUCCUAGUCUACGGGCCAGCAUGAAUUUUGACCGGUGCAAAAGGAUUUGGGGAAUGUGGCACCUUCGGGUGUGUUAUAGCCCCUUGUCGCAUACGCCGGUUGGGAUUGAGGUCUUAGUGCACGCUUCGGUUGUGCUUUGAUGCUGGCGUAAUGGCUUUAAACGACCCGUCUUGAAACACGGACCAAGGAGUCUAACAUGUCUGCGAGUGUUUGGGUGCAAAAACCCGAGCGCGAAAUGAAAGUGAUAGUUGGGAACCUUUUCGG
rnacentral:ncRNA from 1 species